GGGGUAAAAUGAGAGAAGAUGUGAGCGAGCGCGCACACACACACACACACACACUUAUAUUUUUGUCACUUAGCAGACGCUCUCACUCUCUCUCUUACCUUCCUCUUCUUGUGACAGACUUUAACCAGCAGCACCUCUAGAGAAACAGAGUUCUGCUCAUUCUCUGAGUCUACGGAUGACUUCUCUGUAGAGGGGGAUAAGAAGACAGUAACCGUCAGGAUGAGAGGGGAAUAAGGAGACAGUAACCGUCAGGAUUAGAGGGGAAUAAGAAGACAGUAACCGUCAGGAUUAGAGGGGAAUAAGAAGACAGUAACUGUCAGGAUGAGAGGGGAAUAAGAAGACAGUAACCGUCAGGAUGAGAGGGGAAUAAGGAGACAGUAACCGUCAGGAUUAGAGGGGAAUAAGAAGACAGUAACCGUCAGGAUUAGAGGGGAAUAAGAAGACAGUAACCGUCAGGAUGAGAGGGGAAUGAGAAGACAGUAACUGUCAGGAUGAGAGGGGAAUAAGAAGACAGUAACUGUCAGGAUGAGAGGGGAAUAAGAAGACAGUAACUGUCAGGAUGAGAGGGGAAUAAGAAGACAGUAACUGUCAGGAUGAGAGGGGAAUAAGAAGACAGUAACCGUCAGGAUGAGAGGGGAAUGAGAAGACAGUAACUGUCAGGAUGAGAGGGGAAUAAGAAGACAGUAACUGUCAGGAUGAGAGGGGAAUGAGAAGACAGUAACUGUCAGGAUGAGAGGGGAAUAAGAAGACAGUAACCGUCAGGAUGAGAGGGGAAUGAGAAGACAGUAACUGUCAGGAUGAGAGGGGAAUAAGAAGACAGUAAACGUCAGGAUUAGAGGGGAAUAAGAAGCCAGUAACUGUCAGGAUGAGAGGGGAAUGAGAGGGGAAUGAGAGGGGAAUGAGAAGACAGUAACUGUCAGGAUGAGAGGGGAAUGAGAAGACAGUAACCGUCAGGAUGAGAGGGGAAUGAGAAGACAGUAACCGUCAGGAUGAGAGGGGAAUGAGAAGACAGUAACCGUCAGGAUGAGAGGGGAAUGAGAAGACAGUAACCGUCAGGAUGAGAGGGGAAUGAGAAGACAGUAACCGUCAGGAUGAGAGGGGAAUGAGAAGACAGUAACCGUCAGGAUGAGAGGGGAAUGAGAAGACAGUAACCGUCAGGAUGAGAGGGGAAUAAGAAGACCGUAACCGUCAGGAUGAGAGGGGAAUGAGAAGACAGUAACCGUCAGGAUGAGAGGGGAAUGAGAAGACAGUAACCGUCAGGAUGAGAGGGGAAUGAGAAGACAGUAACCGUCAGGAUGAGAGGGGAAUGAGAAGACAGUAACCGUCAGGAUGAGAGGGGAAUGAGAAGACAGUAACCGUCAGGAUUAGAGGGGAAUAAGAAGACCGUAACC